AGCGGCCAUUUUUAGUUCAAAGUUUGAAUCCCCGCUCAUUCUCACUUCCCAUACAUCCCGACAUCCUGUCUAUCAUAUUAGGGUUUUGAGAGUCAUUUCAAAACUUUUCAAAAUCGCUGCUUCCCUGCUCCUCUCUUUAUAUCUCUCUCUCUCUCUCUCUCUAGCGAUUCAGGAACACAUUUCACCAGAUCUAUGAAGUUUUAACAGAUCGAUGAACAUUCUGACCUCCUGGUUCCGAUUUCCGGCUUUUAUUGGCUGAUCAGGCGUUGGAGGUAGCCAGCCGGUUGAUCUUUAGAAGACCUGCACCUGAGAAUUUUAAAUAUGCGGCCCCCAAACACUAAAGGGUGUCAUUGUGUGGUAUAGCGUACGAUAAUGGGUUUACUUGUGAGGAUUUUGAUUCUGCUCAUCUUUAUUACCAGGGUUGUGAAUGAGAUCAAUAACUUAGCAACAAGGAAGAACAAAGAAUGGAAAGAUAAGCUGCCAAAUGUUGUUUUAAAAGCUGAAGAAAUCAUGUAUUCUAAAGCAAAUUCUGAGGCAGAGUAUAUGGAUCUUGAAAUCCUAUGGGAUAGAGCUAAUGAUGCCAUUAACACCAUAAUUAGGUUGGAUGAAAGUACAGAUGGUGUUUUCUUGCAGGUACCUUUAUUGUUCAUUUUUUUCUUGGAUGAAAGUACAGAAACUGGUGUUUUCUUAGUUGUUUGUAGAACAUCUACUUGCUCUUGAUGGAGCUAAGGAAAGACUGUCCUUGUUUGAAGCUAACUUGAUUGCAGAAGGAUCUUUUGAUUCCACAAUACAAUAGCAGCUUUCUUGGAUUCACCUAAUUAUAGUUGUCAAUUUUGGAGCAUCACAAAGUCAUUACGAUUUCAAAUUGGGGCUGCAGUUCAUCAAACCCAGAGAGGCUAGGUUUCAUAGCAAUAAUGAGGGUAAAUCGAAUGGUUGGCUGCAGGAGCAGACCUCCAUUGUUUCAAAAACAUAAUAGAGCCCAAAUGGCAGGUCGCGCUCUUUGUGCUGGUGGGACAAAUAUUGGGUUUACAUGUUUAAAAACAUAUGGAGAUGCAAGAUAAACAAUAGAGGCAUUUUAUCAUGCAGCUGCGACAGAAGAAGGGUUUGUAUCGAUUGUUUCUUGACAAUGGUGGUGAAAUCGCAUGUAGUUGCUAUUGAAUAUUUAUGUCUGUUUGGUGUGAUUUCAAAAGGAAGACUAUGUUGCAAAUGCUGGUGAUUCACGUGUUGUUUUGGGGCUAGCCGUUAAGGCUACUGGGGAGGCUAUUGCAAUCCAAUUUUUGACUAAACAUAGUGCAUACAUAGAGUCUGUUAGAGAAGAACUUCGUAGUUUGCACCUCUAUGACCAUUAUAUUGUAGUUUUGAAAGACAAUGUGUGGCAUGUGAAGUGCCUCAAUCAGGGACAUGUGGUUUGGAUGAUGACCUCUACCCGCAUCAAUAACCGAAACGGUUAAUGGCGAUUUGGUGGCGGACAUCAGAGUUUGGUGAUGGUAGUCAUGACUCCAGCGGUUAUUGGGGUUUAAGGUUAGCAUGUUCAUUUUGCAGCUGUUUUCAGAUUAUUUAUAACUUGAAUUUUGAUCCUCAUAUUAGCUUUAUAAUCUAUUUAUUUGUAUCCGUUUUGUUAGUUUACUUAGUUGAAAGGCUUAGUGUCAACUACCGUGAAUUUGUAUCUGUACCGUCAGUUUAUAUGAAUUGGAGUUAAUUAUUGCUGCAUGAAUGUGUAUAUGAAUCCUCUAACGAUGAAAGCAGAAUGUUGAGAAUGCUUCUUAAUAA